UGGAAGUAAAAGUCGUACAAGGUCUCCGUUGGUGAACCAGCGGAGGGAUCAUUACCGAGUUUACAACUCCCAAACCCAAUGUGAACGUUACCAAACUGUUGCCUCGGCGGGAUCUCUGCCCCGGGUGCGUCGCAGCCCCGGACCAAGGCGCCCGCCGGAGGACCAACCAAAACUCUUUAUGUAUACCCCCUCGCGGGUUUUUUACAAUCUGAGCCAUCUCGGCGCCCCUCGUGGGCGUUUCGAAAAUGAAUCAAAACUUUCAACAACGGAUCUCUUGGUUCUGGCAUCGAUGAAGAACGCAGCGAAAUGCGAUAAGUAAUGUGAAUUGCAGAAUUCAGUGAAUCAUCGAAUCUUUGAACGCACAUUGCGCCCGCCAGUAUUCUGGCGGGCAUGCCUGUCCGAGCGUCAUUUCAACCCUCGAACCCCUCCGGGGGGUCGGCGUUGGGGAUCGGCCCUUUACGGGGCCGGCCCCGAAAUACAGUGGCGGUCUCGCCGCAGCCUCUCCUGCGCAGUAGUUUGCACACUCGCAUCGGGAGCGCGGCGCGUCCAUUGCCGUAAAACACCCAACUUUCUGAAAUGUUGACCUCGGAUCAGGUAGGAAUACCCGCUGACUUAAGCAUAUCAAUAAGCGGAGGA
rnacentral:rRNA from 1 species